UAUUAUGCCUAUGUGAAAUUAAGUUCCAAGUUCUGAAGAUAGACUUUUGAAUGAAUUUACAGAAUGAAACCUAUCUGCAUAAAGGGAAUUUCCUACAGUACUCUGAGAAAAAAGACAAUAUUAGCUUCAAGGUUCUCAUAGCAGUGGUUAUGUAAAGCACUAUCCUCUGGGAUGUGAGGUUACGUAGUCCAGGAUACAUUCAAAUCUACACACUACAUAGCAUCACAUCCCUGAUUAUAGUGUUCAAGGAAGACAAUGCUUUUAACUAAAAAUUUUUAACACAAUAUAUUUUAUUCUGGUUUUAUUGAACAUGCUUUACAGGAUUCUUUCACAUAGAUGCCAUAUGUUCUAUUUCGCCCUCUAAAGCAGACAGACUUUCACUUCAUGAACAGAAUUGUCUUGUUCUUUAUAAUUUUCUACCACAAUAAUAUUUUGAUUUAUUAAUAACAUUUGAUUUUAUGACACAUACACACAAUCUACUUUUUAUAUUAGCUUAGUAAUAUUUACUCCAUAGGAACAGGAAUAUAAAAAUUAUAGUACAAAAUUAAUAUUAUAUAAAUGCAAUUAAUUAAGAACUUAAAUAUAUAAUAUAAAAUAUCAGUUGUCUGCAAAUAAGUGUUCAUACAAUAUAACAAACUACAAACUAUGUUACUUUGCAAAAUAUUGGCUUUAAAUAUUAGGUUUACAUACAUUAUUAAAUACGGAAAUGAUAAAUAUUGCAUUUCUUAAGAUUAGAUUCAUGACUGAGGUCCAUAGCUACUUUGUCCACAUGAAUUCAUUCCUACCGAUUAAUUCCUCCAAUUUUUCCAGCUUUCAGAAAGGUGUAGUUUUUCUGUCUCAAUUAACUGCCUAUAUUUAUAGCAUAUAAUCUCUGUAAAACACUGACAUUCAUCUAAUCCAGCUACCACUAUAACUCCAGUAUUUAACACAUUUCUUACAUGUUUUCUCAUUACAAAUUAUUUUCAAUAAUAAAAGCUACCCAGACACUGUGUCCAUGGACAUGUUUCCAUCUUUCUUUUUAUCCAUCAAAUAUCUGUCAAAUCUAAUUUACCUUCCAAGUUCACAUACAUAAGAAGUAACAACUUAAGAGUUCAAGACUUCAGACUAGUUAACGAUUUAAUUAGAAUAGGUAGCAUGUAUUAUGGUGUGCAGUAUGUUGUCCUGCUUUUGUAAAGACCACAUUACUCAGAAACACAGCUUAGUGUACUUGCCAUUAAGUGUUUUCCGUCUUAGUGUAAUUUCAUGUGCAUAAUUUUAUUUAAGUUUUUAUGUUUUCAAUGGCACUGUGGAAGACUGCAGGAAAAUUGAUAUUGUCACAUGUUGAGUGAGCACAGAUGGGGUUUGGAUUGGUAAUCAGAUUUAUUGGACACUUUUAACACACAAUUCAUGACUGCACUUUACAAGUCCCUAUCACACAGAGACUAGUGUUCUCAGUCACGGUCUUCACUGCGCUGCUUGGUAGCAGCUUCCAAUGGUGGACAUUCCCCUUCCUCUGUGUUCCCAAACUGUCCCCAGCCUCAGCUACCACCUUCUGCAACUGUCAACUAACUGAAUCCCAGCAGUUCUCUAACUCAUUGCAGCUCCUAACUUGUUCUGCUUAUAACAUCUUGGCAUGGACUGCAUAGAAAACACCAUUCUUCUGCCACAGGGAAGUUGUUGCCUAGUGACAUAUUCCAUUGUUGUGUAAAGCCAUCAGCAGGGACUGAACAGAAAACACCAUUUCUCUGUUGUUGUUUAUGGCCUACUGUCUAGAAAUGGCUGGUUGUUGUGACUCUACGAUUCUUGCUUUGAGCGAAUAUGCUACAAUAUUUAGAGUUCUAUUUACUUUCCCUUUAUAAUUUUACACCCAAUAGUUGUUCAGAGUUGACUGUCCAUUAUUAAUUUAUCCACAAAUCAAUUCAUUAUAAUUCUCCAAAUAUCCUCACCAUCAGGACUAACAAACCACUUGCCUACUAGCCUGCAAUGAGUGAAAAACUAUUGAAUUAAUUUGUUUAUAUGUAUUCUCUCCCUUUUUUUUUCUAUACAGGAUGUCAAACAAAAGAUUCAGACAUGAAUGAUAUUUUGUAUUCAUAUAGUAGUGUGGAGUAUAGGCACAUUACAUUGAAACAAACAACAGGACAGCUGUGCAACAGCACAGUAAACAUGCCUCUACAACAACAGAGUUACUGCUUGGUAAACACAUUCCUGCGGCAACAGUUACACAUGCCAUAAGGGAAACAGGGUGUUGUCUACAUGGUCUGCACAAAGGAGUUAUAAAAAGAAGAGAAUUGGGGCAACCAGUCAGUUGAGCUCUGCAAAAGAGGCUGAGGACAGAUGGUGCUAUAAUUAAGUUGACAACUGACGAGAGUUCUGCAUGGGCAGCUUUGAUAAGAGGAUCUAAGCAUGUGAAGUUGAAGAAUGUUCACUGCUAGAAGCCUUUGCUAUGGAAUGGCAGGUGAAAACAUGGCAGGCUGGAGAAGGAACAGCAGGUGCUGUGGUAAUCUGGGAUUAGCGAUAGCGCUGUAAUUACUUGCAGUUCUGAGGUGGUACAGGAGGUGGAAUACAUGCAUCAGAAGUUGAGACAGUCACAUUCACAUAAUCAGUCUCUGCCACAGAGGCCUUCUGAGAGUCUACACCAAGGACAUCAAUGUCUUCUGUCUUCAAAUCAUCACUAAUGGGACCAUGUUG